GUAAACGGCGGCCGUAACUAUAACGGUCCUAAGGUAGCGAAAUUCCUUGUCGGGUAAGUUCCGACCUGCACGAAUGGCGUAAUGAUGGCCAGGCUGUCUCCACCCGAGACUCAGUGAAAUUGAACUCGCUGUGAAGAUGCAGUGUACCCGCGGCAAGACGGAAAGACCCCGUGAACCUUUACUAUAGCUUGACACUGAACAUUGAGCCUUGAUGUGUAGGAUAGGUGGGAGGCUUUGAAGUGUGGACGCCAGUCUGCAUGGAGCCGACCUUGAAAUACCACCCUUUAAUGUUUGAUGUUCUAACGUUGACCCGUGAUCCGGGUUGCGGACAGUGUCUGGUGGGUAGUUUGACUGGGGCGGUCUCCUCCUAAAGAGUAACGGAGGAGCACGAAGGUUGGCUAAUCCUGGUCGGACAUCAGGAGGUUAGUGCAAUGGCAUAAGCCAGCUUGACUGCGAGCGUGACGGCGCGAGCAGGUGCGAAAGCAGGUCAUAGUGAUCCGGUGGUUCUGAAUGGAAGGGCCAUCGCUCAACGGAUAAAAGGUACUCCGGGGAUAACAGGCUGAUACCGCCCAAGAGUUCAUAUCGACGGCGGUGUUUGGCACCUCGAUGUCGGCUCAUCUCAUCCUGGGGCUGUAGCCGGUCCCAAGGGUAUGGCUGUUCGCCAUUUAAAGAGGUACGUGAGCUGGGUUUAAAACGUCGUGAGACAGUUUUGUCCCUAUCUGCCGUGGGCGUUGGAAGAUUGACGGGGGCUGCUCCUAGUACGAGAGGACCGGAGUGGACUCACCUCUGGUGUACCGGUUGUCACGCCAGUGGCAUCGCCGGGUAGCUAUGUGGGGAAAGGAUAACCGCUGAAAGCAUCUAAGCGGGAAACCUGCCUGAAGAUAAGUCUUCCUGGAGGCUUUGACCUCCCUGAAGAGUCGUUCGAGACCAGGACGUUGAUAGGUUGGAUGUGCAAGCGCUGUGAGGCGUUGAGCUGACCAAUACUAAUUGCUCGUGAAGCUUGAUCCU
rnacentral:rRNA from 1 species